GCCGAUGGCUGCCUCCGGGCGGUGAUUGCGGUUUUUCCUUGAGCUCGGUGUCCGCUCCCGGGCCGGCCGGUGCCGCGCCGUGGGCCGGAGGCUGCGGGGCGGUAGCGGCAGCGCCGAGAGGAGCCGGCGGUCAGGCGGCCGCGCGGGACUCCUCGCUUCCCACUCGGGCCAAGAUGGCGGGGGACGAGGCGGGAGUGACUCUGGGGCAGCCGCACCUCAGCCGCCAGGAUCUCGCCACCUUGGAUGUUACCAAGUUGACGCCUCUUUCACCAGAAGUCAUCAGCAGACAAGCAACAAUUAAUAUAGGUACAAUUGGUCAUGUAGCCCAUGGAAAGUCGACAGUAGUCAAAGCUAUAUCUGGAGUUCAUACUGUCAGAUUUAAAAAUGAACUGGAAAGAAAUAUCACAAUCAAGCUGGGUUACGCUAAUGCAAAGAUUUACAAGCUGGAUGACCCAAGCUGCUCUCGACCAGAGUGUUACCGAUCCUGUGGAAGCAGCACCCCAGAUGAGUUCCCUACAGAUAUUCCUGGCACCAAAGGGAACUUUAAACUAGUCAGGCAUGUCUCUUUUGUGGAUUGCCCUGGCCACGAUAUUUUGAUGGCUACCAUGCUGAACGGUGCAGCAGUAAUGGAUGCAGCUUUGCUGUUGAUAGCUGGUAAUGAGUCAUGCCCUCAACCUCAGACCUCAGAACAUCUAGCUGCUAUAGAAAUCAUGAAACUGAAGCACAUUUUGAUUCUACAGAAUAAGAUUGACUUGGUGAAAGAGAGCCAGGCUAAAGAACAGUAUGAACAAAUUCUUGCAUUUGUACAAGGUACAGUUGCAGAAGGAGCUCCAAUAAUUCCAAUCUCAGCACAGCUGAAAUACAACAUAGAGGUGGUUUGUGAGUACAUAGUGAAGAAAAUCCCCGUCCCUCUGCGAGACUUCACAUCUGAACCAAGGCUCAUUGUAAUUAGAUCUUUUGAUGUCAACAAGCCUGGCUGUGAAGUUGAUGACCUUAAGGGAGGUGUUGCUGGUGGCAGUAUUCUUAAGGGUGUUUUAAAGGUGGGCCAGGAAAUUGAGGUGAGGCCUGGUAUUGUGUCCAAGGACAGUGAAGGCAAACUCAUGUGCAAACCAAUCUUUUCCAAAAUUGUGUCACUCUUUGCUGAACACAAUGAUCUACAAUAUGCUGCUCCAGGAGGCCUUAUAGGUGUUGGCACUAAGAUCGAUCCCACGUUGUGCCGGGCUGACCGCAUGGUGGGCCAGGUUCUUGGUGCAGUUGGGGCACUGCCAGAAAUCUUUACAGAGCUGGAAAUUUCCUACUUCCUGCUGAGACGACUCCUGGGCGUGCGCACUGAAGGAGACAAGAAAGCUGCAAAGGUGCAAAAAUUAUCGAAGAAUGAAGUUCUAAUGGUAAACAUAGGAUCCUUGUCUACUGGAGGGAGAGUCAGUGCUGUAAAGGCUGAUUUGGGGAAGAUUGUGCUAACUAACCCUGUAUGCACAGAAGUGGGAGAAAAAAUUGCUCUGAGUCGAAGAGUUGAGAAACAUUGGCGAUGACAAGGAAAUGUAGACAGGAAUUUAGUGCUUGCUGUCUCAGAGCAAGAUGACAAAUUAGGGAAGAGAUUGUUCUCUGAAAAAAAAACACCAAGGCAAAAGAUAACAUGUCUUGAACAGGAGGAAAAACAAGGCAGGACCCAAAUUAAGUCAGUUUAAUUGGCUGGGGUCAGAUCAGAAGAGGAGUGACAAUCAAGCCAACUGUUGAUGAUGACUGAAGAACAAAAGAGUGCUUCAUUUUUAAAGAUGAAGUGCCUAUUUCUAUUUUGGAGGGGUGUAUUUUCACAGUGGAAUUGGAAGCUGUGCAAACAGUAUCUUUGAGUUGUAUGGCUGUCCUCAUACCUUUUAUUGACUUUUACCCUCUUACUAAAAUACUAGUCACUAUCACCAUUAAAAGUGUAAAAGAAUUGGCAUAGAAAUGGGUUUCAUUAUCCACAUUUUAGUAGAAAUUAAUUGUACAUGUCUCAUGGCAUGUCUAAUUUAUGUUACUUUGUGUUUCAGACAUAUCUGUUUAAUAUCAGUCAAACCAGCCCCAGUGUAACACACAAACCAUAAAUCUGGCAUUGAAAUAAAAUAUUGCUUAUUUUCAUUAAUUCAUACAGUUUUUUUGAGUAACAAAAGACUGCAGUGAUUGUUCAAGUACAAGAAUUAAAAGCAAGCAAACUCUUCUUGGAAGACCAGUACCUUUUCUGCACAAUUUGUUUUGUUGAGACAGCUGUUACCAACAAAAAACUUUAUUUCUUUGUUUCUAUGGUUCUUGAUUUUAGGAUUCUAAAGUAUUACACUUUGUAAUUAGGAUGGCAGUAUUGACUGACUUGAAUUUGUCAUUUCUGAUAUUACUACAUGUUUUCUUAAAUCCCCAAAAAAACUCCACAAGUAAACUGGAUCUGAACUGGCA